AGCCCUAGCACAGGUGCUGCAUGGCCGUCGUCAGCUCGUGCCGUGAGGUGUUGGGUUAAGUCCCGCAACGAGCGCAACCCCCGCCGUUAGUUGCCAGCGGUUCGACCGGGCACUCUAACGGGACUGCCCGCGAAAGCGGGAGGAAGGAGGGGACGACGUCUGGUCAGCAUGGCCCUUACGGCCUGGGCGACACACGUGCUACAAUGCCCACUACAAAGCGAGGCCACCCGGCAACGGGGAGCUAAUCGCAAAAAGGUGGGCCCAGUUCGGAUUGGGGUCUGCAACCCGACCCCAUGAAGCCGGAAUCGCUAGUAAUCGCGGAUCAGCCAUGCCCGCGGUCGAAUACGUUCCGGGCCUU
rnacentral:rRNA from 1 species